rnacentral:rRNA from 2 species
UAUAACGACUCUCGGCAACGGAUAUCUCGGCUCUCGCAUCGAUGAAGAACGUAGCGAAAUGCGAUACUUGGUGUGAAUUGCAGAAUCCCGUGAACCAUCGAGUCUUUGAACGCAAGUUGCGCCCUAAGCCGUCAGGCCGAGGGCACGUCUGCCUGG